AGUAAACAUUUCCUCGAAGUGUUCGUAUGUGGGUGACUCAUUUUCUCUAGCUGGUGAACAUGCCGAUGUCUGACAGUGAAAAGAAAGGGUGCAUUGAUCUGUUAGAGGUUCUGAGUGAUUGUGAUUUGUAUUCUCUCGCAGACACAGUGACAAAUAAAAAAAUUCCUGUUGGGGGGAAUAGAAGAGAGGCAUUGAAAACUAUCGUAACUUUCUCUACUUCUGCACAGGAGCUCUUGAGUCGACAAAAAAUCAACAAGGAUGUUCUUUUUAAAUACUUAGUGAAAUAUAAUGUUACUCCCUCAGUCAACACCAAAAAGCCAGAACUAAUUGAUGAAGUCUUGUUGCUAUGGAUGAUCCACAUGGAUUAGUGGUGGUGAUGGUAUGUGGAACAAUCCACAAGGAUAAUCAGUGCCUGGGUGUGUUUGAUCAAAUGUUUGGACUGAUCAAGGAUCCCCAGUUCCACAAUAAUUAUAAGAUCAAGAUUUCAAAAAUGAAACUGACGGCUACCGCUGUGUCAAACUUGCCAAGGUUGACAGACAAAUCUCAAGCUGAAAUUUCAGAUCUGGCAGCAGUGUAGCAACUUGCGCUGUACUUUAAUGAUCACCUGUUUAUACCUGAAAAGUUUUGCUUUGUUAUUUUUAUUGCCACAAUGAUUCAUGCUUCAAAUUUUCCUCAUUAUACAUGUAGAUAAAAUUUGUUUUAAUAGCAUCAUUAUUCUUUAUUGCUUAAAGAUAUUACAUGCAUUUAGCUGUGUAUUUCCCAUGUAGAUUUAUACAUUGAAUGGUAUGGAAAAGAUCAUUGUAAUAAAGAGAUAUUGUUUU
rnacentral:misc_RNA from 1 species